rnacentral:rRNA from 1 species
UACGUAGGGGGGCAAGCGUUGUCCGGAUUUAUUGGGCGUAAAGAGCGUGUAGGCGGCCAUGCAGGUCCGUUUGUGAAAACUCGAGGCUCAACCUCGAGACGUCGAUGGAAACCGCAUGGCUAGAGUCCGGAAGAGGAGAGUGGAAUUCCUGGUGUAGCGGUGAAAUGCGCAGAUAUCAGGAAGAACACCCGUGGCGAAGGCGGCUCUCUGGGGACGGUACUGACGCUGAGACGCGAAAGCGUGGGGAGCGAACAGG